UAAAACGCAUUAAUAGCCAAAUCCAGAAUUAUUUCCCUUCCUCCGUUCAUGUGAGUGAGACCCAGACCACGGCUGGAGCACAAGCUGUGACGACGGCCUGACGUUGGGACCCCGUGAGCGAGUCAUGUGACCGAGCGGACACUACUGUGCAUCUUUGAGAUCAUUAAA